rnacentral:rRNA from 1 species
UAGGGAAUCUUCGGCAAUGGGGGGAACCCUGACCGAGCAACCNNGCGUAAGUGAAGAAGGUUUUCGGAUCGUAAAGCUCUGUUGUUAAGGAAGAACGAGUGUGAGAAUGGAAAGUUCAUACUGUGACGGUACUUAACCAGAAAGGGACGGCUAACUACGUGCCAGCAGCCGCGGUAAUACGUAGGUCCCGAGCGUUGUCCGGAUUUAUUGGGCGUAAAGCGAGCGCAGGCGGUUAGAAAAGUCUGAAGUGAAAGGCAGUGGCUCAACCAUUGUAGGCUUUGGAAACUGUUUAACUUGAGUGCAGAAGGGGAGAGUGGAAUUCCAUGUGUAGCGGUGAAAUGCGUAGAUAUAUGGAGGAACACCGGUGGCGAAAGCGGCUCUCUGGUCUGUAACUGACGCUGAGGCUCGAAAGCGUGGGGAGCGAACAGGAUUAGAUACCCUGGUAGUCCACGCCGUAAACGAUGAGUGCUAGGUGUUAGGUCCUUUCCGGGACUUAGUGCCGCAGCUAACGCAUUAAGCACUCCGCCUGGGGAGUACGACCGCAAGNUGG